rnacentral:sRNA from 1 species
AUGUUUCAGGACUUUUGCCCAGCGGAAUUCACUCUAUCAGCAUAUUAAAGUCCACACAGAUACACGAUAAGAAUACUCCAUGGAAGUCUUUCCUUGUCAUUGUAGAUGGCUCGCCCAAGAACGAUGACGGACACAAGACUGAACAGCCUGACGAAGAGUAUGUGUCAUCCAAGCUUUCGGAUAAAUUGCUGUCUUUUGCAGAAAAUGGCCAUUUCCACAACCUGGCUGCAGUCCAAGGCACUGUACCUACCAUGCAGAACAGUUCUGCAGACACAGCCUGCAAGUCAGAUGACUCCGUGGUGUCCCAGGACACCCUGCUGGCCACCACCAUCAGCGAGCUUAGCGAGCUGACCCCACAGACAGACUCGAUGCCCACACAGCUUCACU